GGGGGUCCGAGCGUUAAUCGGAAUUACUGGGCGUAAAGGGUCUGUAGGUGGUUUGUUAAGUCAGAUGUGAAAGCCCAGGGCUCAACCUUGGAACUGCAUUUGAUACUGGCAAACUAGAGUAUGGUAGAGGAAUGGGGAAUUUCUGGUGUAGCGGUGAAAUGCGUAGAGAUCAGAAGGAACACCAAUGGCGAAGGCAACAUUCUGGACCAAUACUGACACUGAGGGACGAAAGCGUGGGGAUCAAACAGGAUUAGAUACCCUGGUAGUCCACGCUGUAAACGAUGAGUACUAGCUGUUGGAUUCGGUGUAAAGGAUCUAGUGGCGUAGCUAACGCGUUAAGUACUCCGCCUGGGGACUACGGCCGCAAGGCUAAAACUCAAAGGAAUUGACGGGGACCCGCACAAGCGGUGGAGCAUGUGGUUUAAUUCGAUGCAACGCGAAGAACCUUACCUGGUCUUGACAUCCUGCGAACUUUCUAGAGAUAGAUUGGUGCCUUCGGGAACGCAGUGACAGGUGCUGCACGGCUGUCGUCAGCUCGUGUUGUGAAAUGUUGGGUUAAGUCCCGCAACGAGCGCAACCCCUAUUGAUAGUUACCAUCAUUAAGUUGGGUACUCUAUUGAGACUGCCGCUGACAAGGCGGAGGAAGGUGGGGACGACGUCAAGUCAUCAUGGCCCUUACGACCAGGGCUACACACGUGCUACAAUGGGUAUUACAGAGGGCAGCGAAGUAGCGAUAUGGAGCGAAACUCAGAAAGGUACUCUUAGUCCGGAUUGCAGUCUGCAACUCGACUGCAUGAAGUCGGAAUCGCUAGUAAUCGCAGGUCAGAAUACUGCGGUGAAUACGUUCCCGGGUCUUGUACACACCGCCCGUCACACCAUGGGAGUGGGUGCUCCAGAAGUAGAUAG
rnacentral:rRNA from 1 species